rnacentral:rRNA from 1 species
AAUACGUAGGGGGCGAGCGUUGUCCGGAUUUAUUGGGCGUAAAGCGCGCGUAGGCGGCCGGACAAGUCGGUUGUGAAAUCCCGGGGCUCAACCCCGGAACUGCCUCCGAUACUGUCCGGCUAGAGUCCGGUAGGGGAGAGCGGAAUUCCCGGUGUAGCGGUGAAAUGCGCAGAUAUCGGGAGGAACACCGGUGGCGAAGGCGG